UCUUUCUUAUCCAUCUCCAAUCAUGGCAAUAAUUUUUUUGGAUUUUGGAAGUCUUCAUCUUGUUUGUUUUUCCCAUUCAUAGAAGACAAUUGUUUGUGGAUCCUAAGUAGUCAGCAUGCUGAAUAAUUGCUGUUUUGUUCUGCUAUGGGUAGUGGGUGACUUGAGUGAGAUGUGUUUCUUGCCAGCUUCAGGGUAAGGCUGCCUCUGCUUUGCUGAAGUGUGACUUGGAGGGUUGCUGGGAGCACAGCAGGCUGGGGAGGGCCCGUAAGGUGGGGCAAGUGCAGAAGACUGAGAAAUUAGUUCAUGCUCAGCUCCAGACACCCAAACAGGCUUGUGUUCCAACUGCAUGGAAUAUUUGAAAUAAAUGACCUGCUCAAGGCUGGGAGUUCGCAAUGUUUAUGUACAGCACCAUGGUGACAGCGGAGGAAGUCAUGAGAUGGGGAUUGGGCCUGCUGGAAUCAACAAAUGAUAUCACAGAUUAGCAAAUCCUAAUGAAUCAGUGGCUUUCUGCUUCCCCUCCUAUUGCCUGCAUGUGGCAGGCAGGCCUGCUCCUUUUUAUGAGCAACAUUAAAAGUUACAAGUCCUGGUUGUGCUGACUAGAGCCUACUUGAAAACUAAUGCUCUUCCACUGGCCAGCAUCUCUUAUCUCUCUGCUGUUGCUGGCUAGCCAUAUUUGUGCAUGUGGAACUUAGCUUCAUGUUUUAUGGGAGGUUUCUGGCUUUAGUAGUUUGAUUGCUGUUGCCUUGCUGGUGAUACAGGAGAACUGUGACAAUCCUGCAGAGAAUCUGGCCGUCGUGUUGCUGCUAUGGGAAAACACAAACAUUCGGAGCUGUCCCCAUGUGUCCUACUUUUUGUGAGCCUGCUAGGAAGCCUUGGUGAACGCCUCCCAGAGGGAGCAGGCAGGGUGAUGACUCCUGUGCUGCUAGGAACAGCUCACAGCCAGCUUCCUAAAAAAACAUGUUAUCCGGACAUCUGAUGUGAGAGUUCAGUGCUAACAGUCAACGGGAGGGCUGCCUGGAACAAAGAUGCAGAGCUGGCAAGAGCUAAGCCUGUAGGAGAACAUGCUACAUAAAUAUUAUCACAGAACAGUCAUCUACAGUAACAGCUCUCACUGAAGUGCUGCCUGCAUGUUAAAAAAAUGAUGGCACUUAAAAAGGAAUAAGGAAAAGAAACUAGGAUUAUACAUGUCCUGAUUAUAGGAAAUUCAAGAUGCAAUACUGUAAGUUUCAUAUAGCAAAUUCAGACUCCUGGCAAAAGAAGCACAUACGUAUGUGACAUAUCUUUUACAAACACACGUACAUGUUCACUCUCAGCUGUUCAACAUUAAGAAAUUGUAUUUCUAGCUGCUUGGCAACAGAGUUGAUUUAUGCUCUUUGUUUCAAACUAGGGAGAUACGCACAAUGCUGUGUGAGAAGUGGUGUCUAAAUCAGCCCAUUAAUGUUCUUACCUUUUUUUUAUUGAGCUCUGCUUUCUAGAUAUUACACACCCAGCUCAUUAGUGACCACCCAAGCUUCCUUGCAGAAGGUAUUGGCUCUAAUGUGACUCUGAACCACUCUCUUAGCAUUGGAAGGAUUCUGCCCACUGCAUGCAUUUCUCCUCAACAAUCUCAGACACUGCCAUGCCUCAGGAAGGCCUCUGCAGCAGCUACCAUACACGCCCACCAGCUCAGCAGCAGAGACGAGUCUAACCCCUGCCAUGAUCCUGAAGUCGCUGUAAGAGAGGCACCCCAUACUGAUUCCCUUUCCAUCUGCCCAAAUAAGAGAGCUUAACUUCUGCUUGUAUGAGUAAGAGAAUUAAAAACACAACUGAAACCCCAUUGGUUUUGGUUGUUUUUUUUUGUUGGUGUUGUGUUUCAGUGCAAUCUGCAGCAUCUCCCUGUGCUGGGUUCUGUGCAGUAAGCAGUUACCUAUACUUCAUGUGAAGGGGGUAUAGAUGGAAGGGAAGGAAACUGAAGCCGUCACAGAAGAAGUAAGAUUAGCUGAGAAUUCUACAUAUUUAUAUACCUUUCUUAUCAUUGUCAACACACUUAUUAGCUUUAAUUGUUUAAAAUAACCCCUCAUUUUCCAGAUAAGCACACUGUGCAAGUUGGUAUUAUACACACAUUGAAAACAACUGCUCACUUGUUCUCCCAACACAUCUGAACUUUCUAUUACAAUACAAAGAGAACAAUCACUUCCUACCUAUCAGUAGCAUCUCCUUCUAUCCAGAAGUUUCAUGGAAAUAGUUAACAUGAAUUGAAAGAACUAACUUACAGCCCUAAGCAAGGUCUUUUCAGAUUUUCACAGGAGAAGGCAUGAUAGAGGCUGUCAGGACCCCGAGGAGUAUGCCUUACCAGGGACCUGAACAGAUCUUUCCAACAGGCCUCUUACAGUAGGAACAGUUGAGCAGGAACCAUUAUAAAGGAACAUCCAUCACUGUCCUCACUCCCAGUGAUGACUCAUGUGGCCUUUGCUAAGUUGUGUAGAAGAGACGGAAUUUAUUGCUUGACUCUGGAAGACAGGACUGAGGGACUCGGGAAAGGAGCUGGAGUGGCAUCUGCUGGAAACUGCCAUGCUCUGAAGUAGACAAGAUAUUUGUGCACAACACACAUGCUCUUCUGAUCUGAAAUAGCAGCUGUUCUUUAUAAAAAACAGAUGAGCAAAGCUACAGUGAAGGGCUUGUGCACUCACAUAAACAGGAGAUAAUCGGCAUACAACAGGACCAAGAUAUCAGGAAGACAAGGACUUGUUUUAAGGACUAUUGUAAUUUGGAACAGCCUUAUGCUAAAGCCUACUGCUGUCAGUGGCAAAGCUAGAUUAGCAGCCUCAGCCUUUGACUUUCUUUGGCCUCAGCACAGGAACACACUUUUUUCAGAUUUUAGUACAUCCUCCAAUUUAAACACUCACAUAGGUGAUGUCUGUAAAGAACAUCUGAACUGGCUGUUACUGCCACCAGUUUAAAAGGCAGUGCUCCUAAGAGAGAGUAUAGGCAGGAAAAAACACACACCAAGAGGAUCAGAAAGCUUAAGGAGCUUUCUGGGGGUUGUUUUCUUUUGACAAAUAAGUAGGCAGUUAUGUACUACAGGGCAAAAAAAACAAGGUUAAAACAUUUAUGUUCUCUUCUGUUUACAUUUGAAGAAUCAUUCCCACACAAUCGUAUUCAACACAGAUAUUAUUUCAAAAGAAGCAAAGUGAUACAGCCUAAUGGUUCCUGGCCAGAAAGAAAUCCAGAACUCUCAUUUUGUGGGAAAUGUCAACAUUUCAACAUUUUUCCAAUACUGCCAUUUUUAAGAAAUCCCCAAAUUCCUGCUGCUGACCAACCUUCCUGGCCAGCAGUACGAGCCACAGUGCCAAAACCCAGCAGAAAGGCUGCCUUUUCACAGCGUGCAUGCACCAUGUUUACAAAACCUGCCCUCUGUUUUUAGCUGACUCUUCAGGAGGAUCUACAAUUUCCUCAGCAUUUCAUUCCCAAAGUUCUUCACAAGCACGGGGUAUUCCGAGCUGGAUGUGCACCAAGGCAACCAUCAGUCAAGACAAUGACAAGAGGACCUCUUCUCCUCUGCAUUGCCUUCUCACGACAACAUUCUGGGGAGCAUAAUGUCAGCACUGUAUAUGCACCACUGGCCUCUGCAGGGUCCUUUCUUUGGGGUUAUGAUCUCAAGUAAUUUUUAAAUAAGAGUUCUAUGGAAAAGGCCUAUAUAUUCCACGUGUACCCAUGGAGCCUGUCGUGGCACUGCUAAGGGAAAUGGCGCUGUGAUGUGAGGGCACUGACAGACAUGACAGAAAACUGUUUUUUUUUGGCAUCAUUUUGCUCAUGAUCUUAUUAGGAUUCAAAAUCUAGACCGAGAGCUUUGUUCCAAAUUGGACUGUCCAAAGGAUAAGCCUAGGAAUAUAUGUGAGAAGAAUCAGAAGGGAUUUUUUCACUGAAUUUGCUGGAGCUGGAGCAGGGAAAAGAUCUGAAAUUCUUUUCCCAACUACAGUGAAAGGCCUGGGAGGCCGGGAUGUUUUUUCCCUUCUUGUAGGAAACUGUCUGGCCCUCUUAGCCUUUCCAGAAGGUGUUGGCAGGUAGUGGAAAUAGUAUGGAGAUGAGGAAGAGAACACUAUUUCUAUGGGCCGGUGUUGUUUCUAGACUGAUACACAUCACUACAGGGCAGCAUCUGGAUAGUGAACCCACAACACAGAUUUCUGUAGGCCAGGGAAGAACUAAUGAAAUGUGUCCUACCAUGGGAUGUGAUGCUUCUGCCAAAAAGAUGUUCUGUCUCAUGGCUGCCGGGUGCUUCCUCCUCUGGGCAUCGGAUGAGAUCUACUUUUUUUCCUCUAGGAAGGUGAGGCGAGACUGGCCAGGAAGCUGGUGCCAUUACAGCUGUCUCAGGAAUUUCCCCAUUCCCCGAGCAGCCAGGGCAGAGGAAUAGGGAAAGGAGGGGGAACCCACAGAUGGAUUUUCCAGGUAACACCUGGUGAAAGAGGGACGAUACAGUCUCACUCAGAACAAUGGAUUUGUUUUGAGCUGCUGUUCAGGAACUGACCUCUUUCCCCUCUCAUCCUCUGAGCAAGUGAUCUUUGAGGUCCUUGUUUUCUGUCUGCCCUCCCUCCCUGAGAUGACCCUUUCCUCUCACUCAAAGCAGUGACGCACACAGUGUCCAUCAGAUUCCUCUGACAUCAGCAACUCUAGGCUAGUUUCUUCCCAGUGUCUCUCAGGGUGCUGAAAGGCUGAGGGUGGACGCUCCUUGCAGAGGUCAGGUUAUAGUCAGUUCUCUCUUAAAUUGUGCUCCAGCUGCCUCUUCUUGCAGACAACUCAAGGCUUUUGGCAGAUAAGUUGCUGAGUAAGGGCAGACAUGUUUAGUUCCUGCUGAGCCCUUUCUGCAGGGCACACACACUUGGGAGAUCAGUUGUUGCUGGUGCUGCAAGGAGAGGUGCAGCACUUGUUUGGGCUCUGGAGAAGGAAAGUGCAAGUGCAAACCUGGUUGGGAGGAUACAGCUGCAUCCGCUUGAGUGUACAGGCUGUAGAGGAUACGGUCCUCCCUGUCAGGGACCUGUUGCAGUUCCACUGGCUGCUUUCUCCGGAAGCCAUAGCUGUGAUACACCCACUAGGAAUGAAUGUAGCUCACAGCUACUGUAAUUAAAAUAUUAUCUGAGCCCACAGUAACAGCACAUCCCCUACUCACAGCCCCUCUGCUGAAAUCCCAGCCAAAGAAAUGAAGCGUGGGUAAGAGGCAAGGGAGCAAAAUAAGAACCCCUUGUGAGAAGGGUCCCAGUGCUGUGUCUACCAUCCUGGCAUCCACAUGUCUGCCUCUUGCCUCACACUGUGGAUGUGCCCUCUGGGUGCCAUAGAACAUACAACACCGGCCCAUUGCUGCUGUGGGAUUUCAGCAGGUUGAGCUGCUAUCACACAGACCUCGCUGUGCUGGCUGCUAGCCCAGGCUGUUGGAUUAAGGCUGCAGUAGCAUUCCAUUUCACGAGUCCUAUAGCACAGUAACCACUGCCACACCAACAUGAUGUUGUUAGGUCCCACAGAUGUGCCAAAGAGACUGCAUCCAGUUUUACUGCUCCUCUCUACAGCUUGGGUAUUGGCUGUGUGGGCAAAACACCAUCCCGGGCUUGCCUCCUCACAUCCUUCAUCACCUGAGCACAUCCCUCGUGCCUUCACUGCCUUCUUGUCUCUGAGGAAGCCGGAUCCCUGCUUGGGCUGCAGCCUGCUCCUGUCAGAGCGCCGGCCCCACACCGACCUCCUCAGGUACCCGCCCGGCUCUGUGAGGGCGGGAAGGAGCGGCGCGUGGCUGCGGCGCUCUGAAGGCGGGAAAGAGCGGCGCGCGACUGCGGGCUUUGAGGGCGGGAAGGGUCGGCGCGUGGCUGCAGGACGCGGAGGAGCCACUAGAGAGGAGUUCGGCGAAGCUCCACGUUCAGCUUCCCACAGCAGGGGAGAUGGGUCAGUUCGGAAGCACGAGAAACAACCCUGGGAAUGCUACCAGCAGCCAGAAUGAGAGCUGUUUCCCAGUUGCUGUGCUUCCCGGAGUUGGCUGUCAGCAGUUCCCACCACGCAGGCAGGAGAGCUGGGUACACCUGACUGAGCAAGGAAGUGACUGGAGCUUUCAGCUGUUCUUCAUGGCUGAGACCUGCCAGCAUGGCCUCUGCGUAGAAAUUCUCCUGGGAAGAGGCCAGAAAGGUAGUUUUCAAAUUUUACGGUAACUGAAAUCGCAGAAAAAGGCACAAAGAAGGGAAAGGGGUUUGUAUCUUCUAUAGUUUUUUAUAUCUUUUUUUAUUUUUUGUCAAACUUGGCUUGGUUCUAAUUAGAUGAUGCAAAUUCUUCAGAUGAACUCUGGGUCUGAGGGGGAUAUAAGGUUUUACAGUGCCCGGCGUGAGGUUGUGUGUUUUGUACCUUGUCUCCUAGCAGCAAAAACCACAUGGAUGUGAGAGGCUGUUUUAUGAUCCGCCAGGGCUGUUGUUGGACAGGUUACAGUGAGCAGAGUUAUUCCAGCCGCGUUGGAAUUGCUGCUCCCUCCCUCCUCUCAUUCACUCACUCUCUCUCUCUUUUACCUGUCCAC